rnacentral:rRNA from 1 species
GACGAACGCUGGCGGCGUGCUUAACACAUGCCAGUCGAACGGAAAGGCCCUGCUUUUGUGGGGUGCUCGAGUGGCGAACGGGUGAGUAACACGUGAGUAACCUGCCCUUGACUUUGGGAUAACUUCAGGAAACUGGGGCUAAUACCGGAUAGGAGCUCCUGCUGCAUGGUGGGGGUUGGAAAGUUUCGGCGGUUGGGGAUGGACGCGCGGCUUAUCAGCUUGUUGGUUGGGUAGUGGCUUACCAAGGCUUUGACGGGUAGCCGGCCUGAGAGGGUGACCGGCCACAUUGGUACUGAGAGACGGCCCAGACUCGUACGGGAGGCAGCAGUGGGGAAUAUUGCACAAUGGGCGGGAGCCUGAUGAAGCAACGCCGCGUGCGGGAUGACGGCCUUCGGGUUGUGAACCGCUUUCGCCUGUGACGAAGCGUGAGUGACGGUAAUGGGUAAAGAAGCACCGGCUAACUACGUG